AUUGAACGCUGGCGGCAUGCCUAACACAUGCAAGUCGAACGGCAGCAUGGUCUCGCUUGCUAGACUGAUGGCGAGUGGCGAACGGGUGAGUAAUGCGCAGGAACACGCCUCAAAGAGCGGGACAACUUAGGGAAACUUAAGCUAAUACCGCAUCAGCUCUGAGGAGGGAAGCUGGGGAGCUUCGGGCCUGGCGCUUUGAGAAGAGCCUGCGGCUGAUUAGCUAGUUGGUAGGGUAAGAGCCUAACAAGGCGACGAUCGGUAGCUGGUCUGAGAGGAUGAACAGCCACACUGGAACUGAGACACUGUCCAGACGCCCACGGGAGGCAGCAGUGGGGAAUAUUGGACAAUGGGGGGAACCCUGAUCCAGCAAUGCCGCGUGUGUGAAGAAGGCCUGAGGGUUGUAAAGCACUUUCAGUGGGGAGGAGGGUUGAUAGGUUAAGAGCUAAUUGACUGGACGUUACCCACAGAAGAAGCACCGGCUAACUCCGUGCCAGCCGCCGCAGUAA
rnacentral:rRNA from 1 species